rnacentral:lncRNA from 1 species
UGAGCUGCUAUAGAAUAUGUUUCUUUAAAUAUUCUAUCAGGAUUUUGAUCGACAAAAUAAAACCCUGGUGGAUAUUGUGGCCGGUGGGUCACUUAUAAAGUUAUCAUAUAGUUUGUCUUCAAAUAUGCUUGAGGAGAUCACAAAAAAAACUGGUGGCAUACUGAGGACUCCGAGGUAGCUAAAGGGUAACCUACCAAAUCCUAUGUUGACAAAGAUCAAAGGAAGAAAGAUGAGGAGGGGGAUGAAAACAUGGGGAAAAAAACAUAAUUAGAAUUCCUUAUGAAGCAUGUGAUGGGUGCACCCAUAAAAAUGGUAAAUAUCGUGGCAUCUAUA